rnacentral:lncRNA from 1 species
GGGACCGUUGGCCUCAAUGGGUUUGAGGUUGCUGCCGGGGUGUCAAAUGGUCUUGCCAUUUUAGAUUGUUCCUGUUUGGGGCUUGCCCCUAGGAUUGUGGGUCUCAUGGCCCUGCAGAAAUUCUCUUGUUAGAAAAUCGGGAAGGGAGUUAUGUUCUCCUUUUAUAAAUUCGAUUUGAAAAUCAAAGCUAGAUAGGAGAGCCUGCCAUCUAGCAAAUAUUUGUUUGGAAACAAGGUUUUUGACAUCUUUUUGUAAAAUCUCUUUGGCAGAUUUACAAUCGACCCUAAGAAGAAAUUCCUUAUUAAUAAGGUCAUCUUGAAAUUUAGUGAUACAUAGCACUAUAGAUAGAACUUCUUUCUUGACAGUACUGUAAUUCUUCUGGGCAGGAUUCCAUACCCCUGAGGUGAAACAAACUAAUUGUUCUGAGGAUUUUCCAUCUACCUUUUGUUUGAGGAUACCUCCAUAUCCUAUAUCUGAAGCAUCAGUUUCUACAAUCAUGAAGGCUUCUGGAUUGGGGAUACCUAGACAAGGGAGAUUUCUAACUAAAGAUUUAAUCUUUAUGACUGCAUCAGUUUGGGCUGGACUCCAAGGAACAGGAUUUUUCUUAAGACGCUGGUAUAGAGGUUCACAGACCUGCCUAAUAUUGGGGAUAAAAUCAGCAACAUAAUUAAGGCUUCCUAAGAACCUUUGGAGUUGAGUUUUAUCAGUAAUCUCGUUGGGGAAUUUGGUAGAGAAUUCUAUUGCUCUACAAAUGGGUUUUUGACUCCCUUGAUGCAAAUCAUGACCUAAAAAGCGGAUAGAAGUUUGAAAAAGCUUCAUUUUUCUAGCGCUUACAACCAAGCCAUUUAGUUUUACAAUCUUAAAGAAAGUAUUGAGAUGUUUAAAAUGAGAAUCGAUGUUUUCUGAAAAGAUUAAUACAUCAUCAAUAUAAAUGAUAGUCAUAUAGGAAUAAUCAUUAAAAAUGUUAUUCAUAAUAUUCUGGAACUCAGAGGGAGCAUUUUUCAGUCCAAAGGGCAAGACAUUCCAUUCGUAGUGUCCGAAAGGGACAUUGAAGGCUGUCUUAUAUUUAUCCUUUUCAGCAAUUUGGAUUUGCCAGAAACCUGACUUCAUAUCGAAUUUGCUGUAGAGGUUGGCUUUAUAGGUCCUUUUAAGCAGAUCCCUUUUAUUAGGGAUUGGAUGUCAGAUCCAUUGCAGUACAGCAUUCAGAGGCUUAUAAUUUAUUACAAGCCGAGGAGUUCCUCGUUCCUUUUCAGCACUAUUGUUAACAUAGAAUGCUGAACAACUCCAAGGAGAAUUGGAAGGUCUAAUGAUUCCUUUCUCGAGAAGGUGGUUGAUUUCUUUUUUACAGAUUUCCAUCAUCUCGUGAUUCAUUUGGAUAGGCCUGGCUUUGGUUGGGAUGUUUUGUUCAUCAAAGCCAGAGAUGUAGGGAAGUUCUACGAGGUGUUUCUUGCGUUCCCAAAAAGCGUUUGGCAAUUCAGAGCAAAUCUCGUUUUCGAACUUCUUCUGGAGAAUGGAUAUCUUGCUAACCAUCUCCGGGGUUUUUAAAGUUUGCUCAAUACGUUUGACCUGAACAUCACUUUGCAGAUAGUGAAGGUGGGAAGAGAGACGAUUAAUUCGGAAGAUAGUUUCGUCUUUGAUACGCUGCUGUUCGUUAGAAGAGAGCGGACGAAGUAAGGGGAAAAAGAGUUCAGUAUCUAGCAAAGUCGUACAAAUACCAUCGUAGGAACUUUGAUAAGGUCUGAUCUGAUUGACAAAAGGGAUGCCGAGAAUGAUAUCUUCGGUGAUAUCUUCAGUAAUGACAAAGUCAUUGAUAAGGCAUACACCAUUAUUACAGACAUAGGCCUUGCGAAGUUGAUGAUCAAUUCGCAUUUUUUCGCCGGUGGCUGAGUAUAAUCUUGAUGUACUCUUCUGGAGGUAGCGAGUAGGUAUGAGGCCUUUGACAAUGCAAUUACUGUCGGCACCGGUGUCGAAAAGUGCUACUUUGUUUAUCACAAAGUCUCCGUUUAUAACGAUUUUUACCACGAUGUGUUCACUGUAGGCCUUGAUGGCAGCUACUGUUGUAGAGGUAGAGGGAAUGGCCGAAAUGUCUUCUCCAGGGAAGGAAAUUGGUUCUUGGAGAUGAUCAGUUGGAACGCUGAUAUCAUGGGGUGGAGAUGUAGGAGGGAGAGAUUUUGGUGAAGCUGUUUGUAGGACUUGUUCCGUUAGAACAUGUAAUUCUACCUGAUCAAGUCGGAGCUUAAGAUUUUUGAUUUCCCCUUUUAAAGUGGAGAUUUCUCCCUUCAAGUCUGCUAUAGAGGGUUCCGAAGGGGGAUUAAAUUUAGCCAUAACCCUAGUCAUGGAGAAAGGCUGAAUAAUCGGUUUUGGUUUGGAUGUGCCUUCAUCGGAAGAAAGCACAAGACGUUUGAGCUCUUGGAGAUAUUUAUUUCGAAGCUCUUCGUCAUUAAUGUGUUCGAUGAUGUCGAACAAAAUUUCUUUCGAUUUGUCUGUAAUGACGUUGAUGAUCUUUCGGGAGCAAGUACAAAAAGUGCCAUUGCAUUCGCAUUCUUGCCCGGAUUGGGAGCUAUCAGACUCAUAAGCGGCAUUGAUGUAAUCUUCGUCGCUGUAUUCAUCUUCUGAAGAGGAAUAAGAGUCAGAUGCUUCAGAAGGGUCUUCCAUAAUAGAGAAGAGUUUUUCUCUGGUUUCAUCAGGUAGAUCAAGCAGAUUGAUCUUCUUCUUUUUACCUGAUGUACAAUCUUUUGCCCUGUGGCCGGUCUUACCGCAAGUCCAGCAGGCCUCUUUAGAUUUUGAAAAGGAUUUUCGCCUAGCUUUUCGGCGAAGCUUAUUUGACUCCUUAUAGGAAUUUGAUUCCUUAUAGGAAGUCUUUCCUUUUGGAUAGGACCUUUUAUGACGCUUUGGGGGCAUUCUUUUAUGCCUUUUGCCGUUAUGGAGGUCAGUAAAACCAUAAUCUUGGCAGAAAGUCGUCAGACCGUAUUUGUGAUUCUGCUUAAGUUGUUGUUUAAGCUUAAGGUCUGUACAGAGUUCUAUACCCGUAGUGGUGAUGAAACUUACUAAGUCUCCAUAGGUAAGAAUGUUGUAUGGGAUUUGACCCUCAAAUCUAUCCUUAAGUUUUGUCCUGACCUUAUCUGCAAACAAUGGGGGAAGACCACUGAUGAAUCUUUCCUUCCAAAAAUCAUUAUUGCAGUCGGGUCUAAUCAUAACCUUAAUCAGGAAGGUAUCUUUAUACCAUCUAAAGUCUGCUAGAUUUUUGCAGCGAAGGUUAUUAAGGAUUUCCAGACUUCUAUCUUGGAAGAGUUUUGGUUCUCCUACAAAAUAUCUAGCUAUGUGGUAUAGGAGGGUUGCACAGGCAUCUUCUUGAGCUUCUUGAACUAGGGUUUCUCGACCAUCUACUGUUCAAGCCACCUGCUCAAUGACUGUGGCGUUGUAAAUGAGGUUCUUUUCGUCCUCAGAGACAUAAUUGUCCCACCAAUGUUUGAGCAUACCGGUGAAACCCGAGACAACCAUGGUGGCGGCUCCUUUGUCAGAGGAACCUUUGAUUUUGUAGGCUGUGAUGGCCACUGCAACCUCAUGGAGUUUAUUGUAGAUCUGAUGCUCAGCCAGACCAUCAAUAUUCCAUUCGGUUAUGCCUCGUCCAUCAUGAUUAGAUGUGGAGAGGUAAGGGUUCUCCUCAAACUGGACAUCAGGGGGAGAAGGUUUACGAUAGUAAUUUUUUCUAGUUGAAAAUCGAUCACUAGAAAGUUUAGAGAGAGAGUUCUUUUCCUUAGAACCGGAGGAAUCUUUAGAGCUAGAGGGCUCUUGAGAGAUUUUGAACUUGGUGAGUUUGGAGUUGAUUUUUUCCAAAAUUUGUUCUGACAAUUUAAAAUCGUCAUUCAGAUCUGGGAAUUUAUCUUUGCGAAACUCUGGGAGUUUGAAGAUAGGGUUGGAAAGAGGUUGAGAGCAUGGAGUGCUCUUGGUUGGUAAUGGGGCAGAAAGAGGAGGACUCUUAGCGUCCUCUAUCUGCUGAGAAAUGGUGUGAAGAACUUGAUUAGUAUAAUUGUUUUGUUCAAUUAUUCUAUCAAGAUCUUUACAUUGAGGUGUCAUUGAUCCUCGUUCAGAUUUAGUCUUAAAAGGAGAAGCUUUAAUGACUUCGUUGGAGUAGGAAAUAUUAAGUCCUUCCAGCGGAGGAGUUGUGGAUUCGACCACAGUGUUCCGCUGAGUAUACCAUUUGGUAACGAUAGCGUUGAGAGAGUCGGUUUGGUUUUAUAAUCUUCCCGUUUUUUCAAACCAGAAGAAGAAUUCCAUAUCGCAUCGGAGUCUUUUCAUGUCGGCUAUCCAUAGCCUUCCAAACUCCUUCUGUUCUUCCGGGGAGUAAGUACUUCCGUACCAUCUCCUUUUAAGAGUGUCUUUUGGAUGGUUCCAUCGGACCUUCAAGGCCUGUAGAUUUGGAACAUAUUCGUCAUUAUUAGAACGAAUAACGAAGAGGCUCGGGUCGGUUUGGACCCUUUGGGGUGGAGCCAUUUCGGAGGCCGAAGGGCUUCCCGGCUCGUAAAGGUUUUCAGGUUCUUUGACCUUAGUGUUUUGGUAAUAGACUUUAGGGAUCGGACCAGAGUAGUCAACUCCUCUAAUCGUUCCCUUGUCAUUGGUGCCUUCGUGAUCGUUAUGUUCACGUUCUAUCUUUGAAGAAGAGGCACAAGUGGAAACAGACCUUCGAGAGGAAGAGAGUCGAGAAGGGUCGACUCCUAGGAAUUUAAGAUCUAUGGAUCCAUCAGGAUGUUGAAUUACCCUUUCGAUUUGAGAUCGUUCGGAGUAACUCCGGACAGGUUGAGUGAUAGCCUCAAAGUGCCAAUCAUUACUAUGGAUGAUAUCGUCCAAAACUAGAGCCUUCGGAACAAAGACUGUGCUACGGUCUUUGUUUGCUUCCAUUAGGGUGGUGACCCCUUUAGGGCUCGUGAAUCUAGCUUUCGGAGCUAGGGUAGUACCCAUAAGUCGAUAAUAUACACGGUAUAUAAUCGCUAUUUCUCGUGUAUUAUCCUUACUGUUCAUGUUUUUAGUUUUAACAUUUAGUGUUAAAACAUCCAUGAUGUUAGGAUCAUUUAUAUCCACAGAGAAAUUUGGGUAGCAAUUAAAGUAAACCGGGCCGUCGGCGAGGUUACUUUGAAUUACUCCUAAGAGAGAAUCGUCAAAAUUCAGUAGACGAGCAUCUCUUAGAAGAGCACAGACAGGAAUAUCUAAUCCUUGUCGAAAAAGAGGCUUAAUAGCAACUUGUACUAAUCCAACAUGAAGAUAAUUAAACUGAUUUUUGAAUCUGUUUAUAUCUAAUUCGUUGAAUAGUUGGAUAAUUUCUAAAGAAUAAUUAAUAGCGACAGUAGACUCAGAGGUCUUGAUGUUAUGUUUUUUCAAAAAACUAAAUUUUCCUAUUUGGUAAAUAGUAUUGAAAGAUUCUUCUGGAAUACUCCAGUUUUGAAGAUCGUUUUCAAUAGUAGCAAUCGGAGUUGCUGAAGAAGAAACAUUAGAGGAGUUGACUACUCUGGUCCGAUCCCUAAAGUCUAUUACCAAAAUCUUUAGUCAAAAAUCUCCCCUGCUUAGGUAUUCCCAAUCCUAAUGCCUUUAUGAUUGUAGAAACCGAUGCUUCAGGAUUCCUCCGUAUCCUAUAUCUGAAGCAUCGGUUUCUACAAUCAUAAAGGCAUUAGGAUUGGGAAUACCUAAGCAGGGGAGAUUUUUGACUAAAGAUUUAAUCUUUAUUAUGGCUUUGGUUUGGUCUGAACUCCAAGGGACUGGGUUCUUUCGGAGACGCUUAUAGAGAGGUUCACAGACCUGUCUAAUAUUGGGGAUGAAAUCAGCUACAUAAUUGAGGCUUCCUAGAAACCUCUGGAGUUGAGUUUUAUCAGUGAUUUCAUCAGGAAACUUGGAAGAGAACUCUAUAGCUCUACAAAUGGGUUUUUGACUCCCUUGAUGCAGAUCAUGCCCUAGAAAGCGAAUAGAAGUUUGAAAAAGCUUCAUUUUUCUAGCACUUAUUACCAAGCCAUUUAGUUUAACAAUCUUAAAGAAAGUAUUGAGAUGCUUGAAAUGAGAAUCAAUGUUUUCAGAAAAGAUUAGUACAUCAUCAAUGUAGACGAUUGUCAUAUAAGAAUAAUCAUUAAAAAUGUUAUUCAUAAUAUUCUGAAAUUCAGAGGGGGCAUUUUUUAAUCCGAAUGGUAAGACAUUCCAUUCAUAGUGUCCAAAAGGAACAUUGAAGGCUGUCUUGUAUUUAUCUUUUUCAGCAAUCUGAAUUUGCCAGAAACCGGAUUUCAUAUCAAAUUUGCUAUAAAGAUUAGCUUUAUAGGUUCUUUUAAGAAGAUCCCUUUUGUUAGGAAUAGGGUGCCUGAUCCACUUUAGGACCGCAUUCAGGGGUUUAUAAUUUAUUACAAGUCUGGGAGUUCCUCGCUCCUUUUCAGCACUAUUAUUUACAUAAAAUGCUGAGCAACUCCAUGGGGAGUUAGAGGGUCUGAUUAUUCCCUUUUCGAGAAGAUGAUUGAUUUCUGUUUUACAGAUUUCCAUCAUUUCAUGAUUCAUUUGGAUUGGUCUGGCUUUAGUAGGGAUGUUUUGUUCAUCGAAGCCAGGGAUGUAAGGAAUUUCGACGAGAUGUUUUUUGCGUUCCCAAAAGGCGUUUGGCAAUUCGGAGCAAAUCUCGUCUUCGAACUUCUUUUGGAGAGUAGCUAUCUUACUAAUCAUCUCCGGGGUUUUUAAAGUUUGCUCAAUACGUUUGAUCUGGACAUCACCUUGCAGGUAGUGAAGGUGAGAAGAAAGACGAUGAAGUUUAAAAAUGGUUUCGUCUUUAAUGCGCUGCUGUUCGUUAGAAGAGAGCGGACGGAGUAAAGGGAAAAAUAACUCAGUAUCCAACAAAGUGGUACGAAUACCAUCGUAGUUACUUUGGUAAGGUCGGAUCUAGUUGAUAAAAGGAAUUUCGAGAAUGAUAUCUUCGGUGAUAUCUUCAGUUAUGACAAAGUCAUUAAUAAGGCAAACGCCAUUAUUACAGACGUGGGCUUUGCGAAGUUGAUAAUCAAUUCGCAUUUUUUCGCCUGUGGCAGAAUAUAGUCGUGAGGUACUCUUUUGGAGGUACCGAGUGGGUAUGAGGCCUUUGACAAUGCAGUUACUGUCGGCACCGGUGUCAAAAAGGGCGACUUUGUUUAUAACAAAGUCUUUAUCGAUGACGAUGUUUACGACGAUGUGCUCACUGUAGGCCUUGAUGGCUGCUACUGUGGUAGAGGUGGAAGGAGUUGCAGAAACUUCUUCUCCGGGAAAAGAGGUGGGUUCUUGGAGAUGAUCAGUCGGGAUGCUGAUCUGUGGUGGUGAGGGCGUAAGAAGAGGAGCCUUUGGUGAAGCUGAUUGUAAGACUUGUUCUGUUAGAACAUGUAAUUCUAUCUGAUCAAGUCGGGUCUUAAGGUUUUUGAUUUCUCCUUUCAAAAGGGAGAUUUCACCCUUAAGUUCUGCUACAGAGGGUUCAGAAGGAGAAUUAAAUUUAGCCAUAACCUUUUUCAUAGAGAAAGGCUAGAUAAUAGGUUUUGGUUUUGAAGUACCUUCAUCUUGAGAAAGCAUCAUUCGCUUGAGCUCUUGAAGGUAUGUAUUUCGCAGUUCCUCGUUGUCAAUAUGUUCGAUAAUAUCGAACAAGACUUCUUUGGAUUUGUCAGUUCCAUUGCACUCGCAGUCUUGUCCGGAUUGAGAGCUGUCAGACUCAUAAGCGGCGUUGAUGAAAUCUUCGUCGCUAUAUUCAUCUUCUGAAGAAGAAUAAGAGUCAGAUGCGUCAGAGGGGUCUUCCAUGAUAGAGAAGAGUUUUUCUUUGGUGUCAUCAGGUAGAUCGAGGAGAUUGAUCUUUUCCUUUUUACCUGAUGUACAAUCCUUUGCCCUAUGGCCUGUUUUACCGCAAGUCCAGCAGGUAUCUUUGGAUUUGGUAAAAGAUUUACGCCUGGUUUUACAGCGAGGUUUAUUCGAUUCCUUAUAAGCACCGGAUUCCCUAUAGGAAGUCUUUCUUUUCGGGUAAGACCUUUUGUGACGUUUUGGGGGCAUCCGUUUAUGCCGCCUACUGUCUUGGAGGUCUGUAAAGCCGUAAUCUUGGCAGAAAGUUGUCAGACCAUAUUUGUGAUUCUGCUUAAGUUGUUGUUUAAGCUUAAGGUCUGUACAGAGUUCUAUACCCGUUGUGGUGAUGAAACUUACUAAGUCUCCAUAGGUGAGAACGUUGUAAGGAAUUUGACCUUCGAAUCUAUCCUUAAGCUUUGUCCGGACUUUGUCUGCAAAUAAUGGGGGAAGACCACUAAUGAAUCUUUCUUUCCAAAAGUCAUUAUUGCAAUCAGGACGGAUCAUAACUUUGAUCAGGAAGGUAUCCUUAUACCAUCUGAAGUCUGCUAGAUUUUUGCAGCGAAGAUUAUUAAGGAUUUCCAGACUUCUAUCUUGGAAGAGUUUUGGUUCUCCUACAAAAUGUCUAGCUAUGUGGUAUAGGAGAGUUGCACAAGCAUCUUCUUGUGCUUCUUGGACUAUGGUUUCUCGACCAUCUACUGUUCUAGCCACUUGCUCAAUGACUGUGGCGUUGUAAAUGAGGUUCUUUUCGUCCUCAGAGACAUAAUUGUCCCACCAAUGUUUGAGCAUACCGGUGAAACCCGAGACAACCAUGGUGGCGGCUCCUUUGUCAGAGAAACCUUUGAUUUUGUAGGCUGUGAUGGCCACGGCAAUCUCAUGGAGUUUAUUGUAGAUCUGAUGCUCAGCCAGACCAUCAAUAUUCCAUUCGGUUAUGCCUCGUCCAUCAUGAUUAGAUGUGGAGAGGUAAGGAUUCUCCUCAAACUGGACGUCAGGGGGAGAAGGUUUACGAUAAUAAUUUUUUCUAGUUGAAAAUCUAUCACUAGAAAGUUUAGAGAGAGAGUUCUUUUCCUUAGAACCGGAGGAUUCUUUAGAGCUAGAGGGCUCUUGAGAGAUUUUGAACUUGGUGAGUUUGGAAUUGAUUUUUUCCAAAAUUUGCUCCGACAAUUUAAAAUCAUCGUUCAGAUCAGGGAAUUUAUCUUUGCGAAACUCGGGGAGUUUGAAGAUGGGAUUUGAUAGAGGUAUAGAGCUUGGAGUGCUCUUAACUGGUAAAGGGGCAGAAAGAGGAGGACUCUUGGCGUCCUCUAUCUGCUGAGAAAUGGUGUGAAGAACUUGAUUAGUAUAAUUGUUUUGUUCAAUUAUUCUAUCAAGAUCUUUGCAUUGAGGAGUCAUUGAUCCUCGUUCAGAUUUAGUCUUAAAAGGAGAAGCUUUAAUGACUUCGUUGGAGUAGGAAAUAUUAAGUCCUUCCAGAGGAGGAGUUGUGGAUUCGACCACAGUGUUCCGCUGAGUAUACCAUUUGGUAACGAUAGCGUUGAGAGAGUCGGUUUGGUUUUAUAAUCUUCCCGUUUUUUCAAACCAGAAGAAAAAUUCCAUAUCGCAUCGGAGUCUUUUCAUGUCGGCUAUCCAUAGCCUUCCAAACUCCUUCAGUUCUUCCGGGGAGUAAGUACUUCCGUACCAUCUCCUUUUAAGAGUGUCUUUUGGAUGGUUCCAUCGGACCUUCAAGGCCUGUAGAUCUGGAACAUAUUCGUCAUUAUUAGAACGAAUAACGAAGAGGCUCGGGUCGGUUCGGACCCUUUGGGGUGGAGCCAUUUCGGAGGCCGAAGGGCUUCCCGGCUCGUAAAGGUUUUCAGGUUCUUUGACCUUAGUGUUUUGGUAAUAGACUUUAGGGAUCGGACCAGAGUAGUCAACUCCUCUAAUCGGUCCCUUGUCAUUUGCGGCAUCGUGAUCAUUGUUUUCACGUUCAGUUCUAGAAGAAGAGACUUGCGUGGAAACAGACCUUCGAGAAGAAGAGAGUCGAGAAGGGUCGACUCCAAGGAAUUUUAGAUCUAUUGAUCCAUCUGGGUGUUGAAUCACCCUUUCGAUUUGAAAUCGUUCGGAGUAACUCCGAACAGGUUGCGUGAUGGCCUCAAAGUGCCAAUCAUUACUAUGGAGGAUGUCAUCCCAUACUAGCGCCUUUGGAACAAAGACUGUGCUACGAUCUUUGUUUGCUUCCAUUAGGGUGGUGACCCCUUUAGGGCUGGUGAAUCUAGCCUUAGGGGCUAGUGUAGUACCCAUAAGUCGAUAAUAUACACGGUAUAUGAUCGCUAUUUCCCUGGUAUUAUCCUUACUAUUCAUGUUUUUUGUUUUAACAUUUAAUGUCAAAACAUCCAUGAUGUUAGGAUCAUUUAUGUCCACAGAGAAAUUCGGGUAGCAAUUAAAGUAGACCGGGCCGUCGGCGAGGUUACUUUGAAUUACUCCUAAGAGUGAGUCGUCAAAAUUCAAAAGACGAGCAUCUCUUAGGAUAGCACAGACAGGGAUAUCUAGUCCUUGUCGAAAAAGAGGCUUAAUAGCAACUUGAACAAGUCCAACAUGAAGAUAAUUAAACUGAUUUUUAAAUCUGUUUAUAUCUANNNNNNNNNNNNNNNNNNNNNNNNNNNNNNNNNNNNNNNNNNNNNNNNNNNNNNNNNNNNNNNNNNNNNNNNNNNNNNNNNNNNNNNNNNNNNNNNNNNNNNNNNNNNNNNNNNNNNNNNNNNNNNNNNNNNNNNNNNNNNNNNNNNNNNNNNNNNNNNAAGACUGCCUAGAGACUAACAGAGCAAAUAUAUAUUUAAUAAAACAGACAUGUUAUUGAAACCAAGUAUGCAAUAACUAAAUAUAAUUAUGCAAGUACAUCUAUGGCUUAUGGGAUCUUAACAAGUUUUAAUGGCAUUACUCUAUAGACAGCUAAGUGUUUGCUCAGUGACGGGACCACCAACAAGGUCUAACACGCUUCUCCUAAGCUUAACGACCUACUUUUCAGGCUGACCAACGUCCUCACCGGAGAUUAAUCGGUUCUGUUAAACACUUAAACAGUAAAUAGAAACCCCGAACUUGCAUUAAAACCCCAUUAUAAGACAAGACAUAAUAACAUAAUUAAAUAUUUAGGUAAAGCAUACCAGAUUAAAAUAACAUGGUAUUUUACAAAUAUAAUUUAGCUCAUGCUCUAGACAGAUUAUUUGUUUAGCUGCUCAUGUUAAACAAAUAAUCGGCCAACAUGGCUUUGAUACCAAUUUAACGGAUCGUAGAUAUAAAAGCGUGAAAGUAAGUAAAAUAAAGAAAGAUUAACAAACUUACAAGUUUAUUUAGCAAAACAUUUAAAAGCGAUUACAAGAGAGUGGUUACAAGAGAGAUUGGGCAGGGAGAAUUUCUUAGAUGGGAAAUUUCUGAAUGCCUUCUCUGGAGAAAACCUAGUCUUUAAAUAGACUAAAAAAUAAAGAAAUUGUAUCUUAUGCGUACAUCUGGACGGCUUAGAUUAUGCCGACAGUAGUAAUGCUUAUCUUUAAAGAAAAGCAAAGAAACAUCUUUUUUUUUUUUUAAAAGCUGCUUUUUAAAAGCUGCAGAGAUUCCUUCUUCAGUGGGUUCUACUUUUGAUAAAGUAGAAUUAUUGUCCUCUUUAGGAGACAGGAUGGGGUCCCUAGAUUCCAAUCAGGAAUAGUGACGUUCCUAUCUUAGAGAUAAUUGCGGUUCUUUGAACCUCUAUCUCUUAAGAAAGGUAGGUUUCCUAUUCAUCAUAGGGAUCGAGGUAGGCCAUUGCUAUUCCUUUUGGUUUUAGCAUAUCGCCAUUAUCUUCACUGCUUCCUGUGGAUGAAGCUUCUGCAAUCAGCUGGAGUAAUUCUUCAGCAUUUGUAGAGGUGUCUUGACUGUCUAAAUCAGCUAGAGCCUUUUUUAGUUUUUCUUUUAAGGCCCUCUUGCUAAUUGAAGAACUUGAGACAGCUGCUGUGUUCUUUCCCUUGUCAGGAGUUGUUUUAGAUGCUGGAGUCUUAGGGGUCCAGCCUUUAAUUUUAAUUUCUUUAGAGAAAUAUUGAAUCCUGUGUUGUUCUGCCUUUGAGAAGUUCCAGGAGAUAAUAUAGGAUAUACAUUUCUUAAUAAAAAAUUUGCACAUUUGGAUGUGCUCUGGUAGAGUGGAGCAGCCUUCCUUGACCACAAAGUCUGGAAGACGAUUGAGGAAUUGCUGAGGAAGGACCUCCUUGGUUCCUCCAUAACAGGUCCACCAUUCGUAAAACCAUCUUGGGAUAAUGGCAUCUACCAUGGCGGGGCAAUAUUUGACAAACCAUGUAUGUCCUGGACGGACAAAUAAGAAAUUGAACCAGGCCGACUUAUAGUCGUACCAAUUGUAAGUCUGCGGCUGAUGAGGCAUGGACAGUGCAAUAGGGGUUUGUAGAUGAUCUACAAACCAAUUAAAAGGGGUUAGUACCCUCUUGAUUGUGAAUUUAGAAUAGCUGAUGAAUUCCGAAUUGCGUUCAUCCAUUGAAUGUUCGACUUCAAUUGAGUCAGUGUCUACUAAUAUGGCCUCAUAAAAUCUCCUAGUUUUAAGGGGAUCUUCUGUAUCCACAAAAUUGUUAUUAGUGUAUACUGGUUUUGCCAGUUGAUUGAGGGGGUAUCCUUCAUAGGCUUUAUCAAGGGCGAGAAUUGGAAUGACAUUGGUAGUGAUGAAUUUAAAUUCUUCUUUGGGGGGAGCUGGUGACGAUGGUUUGGUCGCCGUGGGAUUGACCGCUUGGGCGAAGGUCUCAGGGGCCUUCAUUGCAUAGCUCUGCUUAGUUUGAACUGAAGAAGAACUGGCAGAUAGAUCUUUAUUCAAGGGUUGAUUAGUCUUGAGAUCUACCAAUUUGGUUGGUAGUGGUGGGGAAAGUUUGGGAAAUUGUAAUUCCGUCAGUGCAGAAUACCUGUUCUGAGAUUGUGCCUCUGUUUUGAGUGCUGGUCUUUGCGGGACUGUUGGCCUCAAUGGAUUUGAGGCUGCUGCUGAUACGUCAAAUGGUCUCGCCAUUUUAGGUUGUUCUUAUUUGGGGCUUGCCCCUAGGGUCGUUGGUCUCAUGGCCCUGUGAAAACUCUCUUGUUAGAAAAUCGGGAAGGGAGUUAUGUUCUCCUUUUAUGAAUUCGAUUUGAAAAUCAAAGCUAGAUAGGAGAGCUUGCCAUCUAGCAAAUAUUUGUUUAGAAACAAGGUUUUUUACAUCCUUUUGUAAAAUUUCCUUGGCAGAUUUGCAAUCAACUCGUAAAAGGAAUUCCUUAUUGAUAAGGUCAUCCUGAAAUUUGGUGAUACAUAGCACUAUAGACAAAAUUUCCUUUUUGACUGUGCUGUA